CCUUUCAAGGAAAAAGCUCCUCUGUCUCUUCCCUUUUCCCACAAACACGAAGGUGCGACAGAAGACAAUGAAGCCUCAUGCCCGUGUGUGCGUCUGUCCUGCUUGUACUCUGAGGUGCUAAAAGAAUAAGAUCCAUAUCGCUUCUGCGGUGAUGCUGACAAAAAAGAUGGAACCUUAAUGUGGUGUCCUGGGGAGAUAUAUGGAGAACAUUCAGUCAGGGCUGACUGGUCAACGGAGACUCCUAUGACAGGAUCUGGCUGGAUAUGACAGGAACUCAACUACCGACAUCACAGUGCAGACAGAGAGUCAUUUUUAAGAGGAAAUCAGUUACGGAAAAAGGAACCUUCCUGCUCCCAUCGCCUCGACUGCUUCUGGAGUGGCUUCAUCUUCUCCUAUAUCUCCACUUCGGUAUGAUUGAAAUUUGAAAGCAUGUAGCUGUUCAUUGGAGAGUGAUUAAAGAGCCUCAUUUCUUGGAAGACUCAGCACUCAUCAUCCGCCAUGAUGAAUGAGUGUCUAACAUUCCCUGAUCCCAUUAUAUCGUGAUUAAUUGUGCCAGUUUAAGUCAAUAAUUCAUUUGUUAAAAAUAGGGCUGUGAAGUAUCAUUUGUCUCUAGGGAGCAAUCAGAAUAUUAAAAAAAAAAAUCAUUUGCUACUUCUCAUUAAAUUAGUGUUGGGAGUCCUACCGAAGGGUUCUCUUCAUCAAACAUUUAUUGCGAGCUUAUUUGAUAAGAAGCUGUAUUUGUCUAAAAUUAUGUCUGCUAACAGACAUAACAGCUUACAUUUUUUCUGGCAUUAAUGGGAGGAUUUCUUUUCUUUCCUCUUCAUUUUUAUAGCAAAAGUCUAAAUAGGUGUAUGACUGAGGAACUGGAUCAACAAUAAGAAUGAUUUCUGGAUGCUUGCUUUAGAAAAUGGAAAGAAAUAAUGCCCUAAUCUUUCAAAAUGAACUGAGUUCUUCCUUCCUCUCCUGGAAUGACAGUCUUGUAAUGGCAAAUUGUGCAUCUGCAGUGGGAAAUCUACAGACCCCAAAGUCUCAUAUUUAUAAAUGGUUGUAAAUGUUGCAUUCAUAUUCAUUGAGCCAUUAAAAACUGUUCAGCUG
rnacentral:lncRNA from 1 species